GUCAGAUUCUGAUAAUUCAGGCAUGAAGCUGAAAGGGCAACAAUUUGCAAUUGCUCAAAUUGAGGAGUUGUGUUUGAAUCCUGAUCAAUCGAUACCAAACGACCAAAUUCAUGAAAUUGUCGUCUUCCUUCACCAGACCGAUGGCCUGACAAAGCAUAUGGAUACUUUUAGUAACAUUGCUUCUCUUCUAGAAGUUGGACAGAGUCCUUUUUUUGCUCCCAUCCUCAAGGAGCAGUAUGAUGCUCAGUCAAUAAAUCCUUCAAGGUGUUUAAUCUUCCA